UACGUAGGUGGCAAGCGUUAUCCGGAUUUACUGGGUGUAAAGGGCGUGUAGGCGGGAAAGCAAGUCAGAUGUGAAAACCACGGGCUCAACCUGUGGCCUGCAUUUGAAACUGUUUUUCUUGAGUACUGGAGAGGCAGACGGAAUUCCUCGUGUAGCGGUGAAAUGCGUAGAUAUGAGGAGGAACACCAGUGGCGAAGGCGGCCUGCUGGACAGCAACUGACGCUGAGGCGCGAAAGCGUGGGGAGCAAACAGG
rnacentral:rRNA from 1 species